AUGGGGCUCCUAUCCGCUGGCACCGCGUGGCCUCGUCUCCGCGCCUGUCUCUGUGUUGCUCGUGCGGUCCUGCCCUGGCAGCGUGCUCCUCUCUGCUCCACGCCCACGUUCCUGCACCUGACCUCCAGCUAUGUGACGUGGAUCUACGCCAUGCUGAUCCUGACGAGACUUGAGCCGCACGUUCCUCUACGUGUCGUUCUGGUGCUUCUUGUGGCUCUGGCUCUGUCUUUUUGCCAGGACUCUGGCUUCGUCUAG
rnacentral:lncRNA from 7 species